rnacentral:lncRNA from 1 species
AUAUGUGUUUACUAAUGUAAGGAAGUAAGGAAGAAUCCACCAUUUCUAGACUCUCAAGAUUUAUCAGAAUAUUUAUUGAACUUUUUCAUCAUGUAUUUCAGCAUCUAUGUAGAUAAUCAUGUGGUUUUUCUCUGAGAAAAAUUACAUUUCCUUUUUAGGGAAAAAUCCUGUAGUAAUAAAUUUCUUAUUGUUGCAUAAUCUUUACACAGUAUACACCUUACCUGGUCAUGCUGUGUAUGUUAUUAAUGAUAUUUUGUGGUCUGUUACUUAUUUUUUUACAUCAAAUUCAUAAAUGAUAUUGGUUUUUAGUUUUCUUUUUUAAACACAAGGAUCAAGCAUCAUUAUUACAUUUCAGAUUAGACAUCAAUGUUACAUUUUCUUUGUUAAAAAAAAAGUUGGGGAGUUUUUUUGUACCGUGUUUACUCUGAAUCGGUUUAUGAUGCAGUAUUUCCAUCUCCUUUUUAGAAUUCACUUAAAUUCCUAUGUGAAGCCAUGUAAUCCUAUUGCUCUUGUGAAGUCCUUCUUGAUUUUUUUUUCUUUCUUCUAUGGGAAUUGUCUAUUUAAAUUUCUGUUUCUACUGAAGUUAAUUUUGUAAGUUGUAUUUGCCUAACAAACAUCCGUUUCACCUAGGUCUUCAAAUUUUGUA